rnacentral:rRNA from 1 species
GACGACGCGUGGCGGCGUGGAUUAGGCAUGCAAGUCGAACGGUAUCAUCCUUUCGGGGGUGAGAGAGUGGCGAACUGGUGAGUAACACGUAGGUUAUCUACCCUCAAGACGGGACAACCCAGGGAAACUUGGGCUAAUACCGGAUGUGAGCAACUUUUAGUUGUUUGAAAGGUGGCGUAAGCUGUCGCUUGGGGAUGAGCCUGCGUCCUAUUAGUUAGUUGGUGAGGUAACAGCUCACCUAGGCAAUGAUAGGUAGGCGGCCUUAACGGGUGGUCGCCCACACUGGGAUUGAGAUACGGCCCAGACUCCUACGGGAGGCAGCAGUCGAGAAUAGUCUACAAUGGUCGGAAGACUGAUAGUGCGACGCCGCGUGAACGAUGAAUCCCUUCGGGGUGUAAAGUUCUUUUAUAUGUGAGCAGUGCUUCUUAUAUUAACAGUAUGGGGAGAGAGAUAUUAGCAUAUGAAUAAGCAACGGCUAACUCCGUG